GGGCGAAUAGCUCAGCUGGUUAGAGCCCCUGCCUUACAAGCAGGGGGUCCCAGGUUCGAAUCCUGUUUCGCCCACCA
rnacentral:tRNA from 1 species